rnacentral:rRNA from 1 species
ACAGAGGGUGCAAGCGUUAAUCGGAGUUACUGGGCGUAAAGGGCGCGUAGGCUGACGUUUAAGUCAAUUGUGAAAUCCCUGGGCUUAACCUAGGAAUUGCAGUUAAUACUGAGAAUCUAGAGUAUGGUAGAGGGAAGUGGAAUUCUCGGUGUAGUGGUUAAAGACGUAGAUAUCGAGAAGAACACCGGUGGCGAAGGCGACUUCCUGGACCAAGACUGACGCUGAGGCGCGAAAGCGUGGGGAGCAAACAG